AGAGUUUGAUCAUGGCUACAGAACGAACGCUGGCGGCAGGCCUAACACAUGCAAGUCGAACGCCCUAGCAAUAGGGAGUGGCGCACGGGUGCGUAACGCGUGGGAAUAUGCCCUUGACUACGGAACAACACAGGGAAACUUGUGCUAAUACCGUAUAAUGUCUCCGGACCAAAGAUUUAUCGGUCAAGGAUUAGCCCGCGUUAGAUUAGCUAGUUGGUGAGGUAAUGGCUCACCAAGGCUACGAUCUAUAGCUGGUCUGAGAGGAUGAUCAGCCACACUGGGACUGAGACACGGCCCAGACUCCUACGGGAGGCAGCAGUGAGGAAUAUUGGACAAUGGGGGCAACCCUGAUCCAGCCAUGCCGCGUGAGUGAUGAAGGCCUUCGGGUUGUAAAACUCUUUUAGAUGUGACGAUGAUGACGGUAACAUCAGAAAAAGCUCCGGCUAACUUCGUG
rnacentral:rRNA from 1 species